rnacentral:rRNA from 1 species
GACGGGCGAAGCCGACCGCCCCCCGCGUGAGCGAAGAAGGCCUCCGGGUUGUAAAGCUCUUUCGCAAGGGAAGAAACGAUGCAGUCGAAUAAACUGUGUUAAUGACGGUACCUUGAUAAGAAGCACCGGCUAACUACGUGCAGCAGCCGCGGUAAUACGUAGGGUGCAAGCGUUAAUCGGAAUUACUGGGCGUAAAGCGUGCGCAGGCGGUUUUGUAAGUCAGAUGUGAAAUCCCCGAGCUCAACUUGGGAACUGCGUUUGAAACUACAAGACUAGAAUAUGUCAGAGGGGGGUAGAAUUCCACGUGUAGCAGUGGAGGGGGGGGGGAGAUGUGGAGGAAUACCAAUGGCGAAGGCAGCCCCCUGGGAUAAUAUUGACGCUCAUGCACGAAAG